CUACGGGAGGCAGCAGUGGGGAAUUUUCCGCAAUGGGCGAAAGCCUGACGGAGCAAUACCGCGUGAGGGAAGACGGCCUAUGGGUUGUAAACCUCUUUUUUCAGGGAGGAAUUUUGACGUGUACCUGAAGAAUAAGCAUCGGCUAACUCCGUGCCAGCAGCCGCGGUAAGACGGAGGAUGCAAGUGUUAUCCGGAAUCACUGGGCGUAAAGCGUCUGUAGGUGGUUGAACAAGUCAACUGUUAAAUCUUGAGGCUCAACUUCAAAAUCGCAGUCGAAACUGUUUGACUAGAGUAUAGUAGGGGUAAAGGGAAUUUCCAGUGGAGCGGUGAAAUGCGUAGAUAUUGGAAAGAACACCGAUGGCGAAGGCACUUUACUGGUCUAUUACUGACACUCAGAGACGAAAGCUAGGGUAGCAAAUGGGAUUAGAUACCCCAGUAGUCCUAGCCGUAAACAAUGGAUACUAGAUGUUGAACAGAUCGACCUGUGCAGUAUCAAAGCUAACGCGUUAAGUAUCCCGCCUGGGAAGUAUGCUCGCAAGAGUGAAACUCAAAG
rnacentral:rRNA from 1 species